UCAGACGAUGCGUCAUGCAUAUCAAUAAGCGGAGGAAAAGAAACUAACAAGGAUUCCCCUAGUAACGGCGAGUGAAGCGGGAAGAGCUCAAAUUUGAAAUCUUAAAGGGUUUCCCUUUACGAAUUGUAGUUUAAAGAAGUGUUUUCUGUUGAGGUUUUGGUAAAAGUUCUUUGGAAUAGGACAUCAUAGAGGGUGAGAAUCCCGUAUUUGACCUUUACUUUCAACUUUGUGAUACACUUUCAAAGAGUCGGAUUGUUUGGGAAUGCAGUCCAAAAUGGGUGGUAAAUUUCAUCUAAAGCUAAAUAUUGGCGAGAGACCGAUAGCGGACAAGUACCGUGAGGGAAAGAUGAAAAGAACUUUGAAAAGAGAGUUAAACAGUACGUGAAAUUGUCAAAAGGGAAGCGUUUGACACCAGUGUUGUUUUUCUGAAAAUCAAUUAAAGAACUGUUUAUGCUAAGUUGUUUAGACUUUAUCAGCUAACUGUUUAGUUUUGAGCUUUUCUUUAAUGCACUUUUCAGUUAACAAGUCAACAUCAAUUUCUUUUGCUGUAAAAAAGCUUGAGGAAGGUGGCUUGAGAUUCGUCUUAAGUGUUUAUAGCCUCUUGCCUAUGCAGUCGGAGAGAUUGAGGUCUGCAGCGUAGAUCCUUCGGGGCUAAAUGCAUUUGUGCUAAGUUAUAGCAUUUUAUAGACAACUUGUUGACUAUGAUUUGUCUUGUAGCUUACUCGCUUAUGUUAUUUUACCUACGCUUAGGAUGUUGAGCGCAUGUCUCUCUCU
rnacentral:rRNA from 1 species